rnacentral:rRNA from 1 species
GAUGAACGCUGGCGGCGUGCCUCAAACAUGCAAGUCGAGCGGGGCUAUGUAAUAUCGCAAGGUAGAACAUAGCCUAGCGGCGAACGGGUGAGUAACACGUGGGUAACCUGCCUGGAAGACAGGGAUAACGAUUCGAAAGGGUCGCUAAUACCUGAUAAUAUCCUUUCAUCGCAUGGUGAUAGGAAGAAAGGGGAAACCCGCUUUCAGAUGGGCCCGCGUCCCAUCAGCUAGUUGGUAAGGUAAAGGCUUACCAAGGCGACGACGGGUAGCCGGUCUGAGAGGAUGUACGGCCACACUGGGACUGAGAUACGGCCCAGACUCCUACGGGAGGCAGCAGUUGGGAAUCUUAGGCAAUGGACGAAAGUCUGACCUAGCGACGCCGCGUGAGGGAAGAAGGCCUUCGGGUUGUAAACCUCUGUCAUGGGGAAGAAGGAAGUGACGGUACCCAAGAGGAAGCCCCUGCUAACUACGUGCCAGCAGCCGCGGUAAAAGUACUCUAAU